rnacentral:rRNA from 1 species
CCUACGGGUGGCUGCAGUGGGGAAUAUUGCACAAUGGGCGCAAGCCUGAUGCAGCCAUGCCGCGUGUGUGAAGAAGGCCUUCGGGUUGUAAAGCACUUUCAGCGGGGAGGAAGGCGUUAAGGUUAAUAACCUUGUCGAUUGACGUUACCCGCAGAAGAAGCACCGGCUAACUCCGUGCCAGCAGCCGCGGUAAUACGGAGGGUGCAAGCGCUAAUCGGAAUUACUGGGCGUAAAGCGCACGCAGGCGGUCUGUCAAGUCGGAUGUGAAAUCCCCGGGCUCAACCUGGGAACUGCAUUCGAAACUGGCAGGCUAGAGUCUUGUAGAGGGGGGUAGAAUUCCAGGUGUAGCGGUGAAAUGCGUAGAGAUCUGGAGGAAUACCGGUGGCGAAGGCGGCCCCCUGGACAAAGACUGACGCUCAGGUGCGAAAGCGUGGGGAGCAAACAGGAUUAGAUACCCCAGUAGUC